rnacentral:rRNA from 1 species
UACAGGGGGUGCAAACGUUGCUCGGAAUCAUUGGGCGUAAAGCGCACGUAGGCGGUUCGUUAUGUCGGAUGUGAAAGCCCUUGGCUUAACCGAGGAAGUGCAUCCGAAACUGGCGAGCUAGAGUACGAAAGAGGAUCGCGGAAUUCCCGGUGUAGAGGUGAAAUUCGUAGAUAUCGGGAGGAACACCGGUGGCGAAGGCGGCCAUCUGGACGGCUAUUGACGCUGAGACGCGAAAGCGUGGGGAGCAAACAGG